GAUGAACGCUGGCGGCGUGCCUAAUACAUGCAAGUCGAGCGAACGGACGAGAAGCUUGCUUCUCUGAUGUUAGCGGCGGACGGGUGAGUAACACGUGGAUAACCUACCUAUAAGACUGGGAUAACUUCGGGAAACCGGAGCUAAUACCGGAUAAUAUUUUGAACCGCAUGGUUCAAAAGUGAAAGACGGUCUUGCUGUCACUUAUAGAUGGAUCCGCGCUGCAUUAGCUAGUUGGAAGGUAACGGCUUACCAAGGCAACGAUGCAUAGCCGACCCGAGAGGGUGAUCGGCCACACUGGAACUGAGACACGGUCCAGACUCCUACGGGAGGCAGCAGUAGGGAAUCUUCCGCAAUGGGCGAAAGCCUGACGGAGCAACGCCGCGUGAGUGAUGAAGGUCUUCGGAUCGUAAAACUCUGUUAUUAGGGAAGAACAUAUGUGUAAGUAACUGUGCACAUCUUGACGGUACCUAAUCAGAAAGCCACGGCUAACUACGUG
rnacentral:rRNA from 1 species